GCAUAUCAAUAAGCGGAGGAAAAGAAACUAACAAGGAUUCCCUUAGUAACGGCGAGUGAAGAGGGAAGAGCUCAAAUUUUAAAUCUAUCAUGUUGUACAUGAUCGAGUUGUAAUUUGAAGAAGCGUUUUCUCGUACUUUAUGAUCAGUAUAAGUUCUCUUGGAACAGGACAUCAUAGAGGGUGAUAAUCCCGUCUGUUACUGAUUGUGAGGUUCGUUUAUGAUACGCUUUCAAAGAGUCGAGUUGUUUGGGAUUGCAGCUCCAAAUGGGUGGUAAACAUCACCUAAGACUAAAUAUUUGCGAGAGACCGAUAGCGAACAAGUACCGUGAGGGAAAGAUGAAAAGAACUUUGAAAAGAGAGUUAAAAAGUAUGUGAAAUUGUUGAAAGGGAAACGAUUGAAGUCAGUCGUGCAGUCAUCAAUUCAGCGGUUAACAUUUUAUGUUUCCGUGUAAUUUGGUGUCUGUUGGUUAGCAUCAAUUUUGAUUGUUAUAAAAAGGUUAAGGGGAUGUGGCUCCUUCGGGAGUGUUAUAACCCUUAGCGUAAUGUGACGAUUAGGAUUGAGGUUUGCAACGAAUACCUUUUAGGGCAGUUUCACCUGGCCUCUCGUGGAAUUAUAGAUAGUUAAGAGCAUGCUCUUACUGUUUAUGAUUCUACGAAAAGGUUGGAGUGUAAAACUAAUUCGUUAAGGAUGUUGACGUA
rnacentral:rRNA from 1 species